rnacentral:rRNA from 1 species
GAUGAACGCUGGCGGCGUGCCUAAUACAUGCAAGUCGAGCGAACGGACGAGAAGCUUGCUUCUCUGAUGUUAGCGGCGGACGGGUGAGUAACACGUGGAUAACCUACCUAUAAGACUGGGAUAACUUCGGGAAACCGGAGCUAAUACCGGAUAAUAUUUUGAACCGCAUGGUUCAAAAGUGAAAGACGGUCUUGCUGUCACUUAUAGAUGGAUCCGCGCUGCAUUAGCUAGUUGGUAAGGUAACGGCUUACCAAGGCAACGAUGCAUAGCCGACCUGAGAGGGUGAUCGGCGACCCUGGAACUGGGACACGGUCCAGACUACUACGGGAGGCAGCAGUAGGGAAUCUUCCGCAAUGGGCGAAAGCCUGACGGAGCAACGCCGCGUGAGUGAUGACGGUCUUCGGAUCGUAAAACUCUGUUAUUAGGGAAGAACAUAUGUGUAAGUAACUGUGCACAUCUUGACGGUAACUAAUCAGAAAGCAACGGCUAACUACGUG